ensembl:lncRNA
GCAGACUCACUUUCACAAGAGGAAAUCAAUAGAUUCUUCAAGCGGUUGGACCACAGGAUGAUGCCUGGGCCUAUUUUGUCAACCAGGUGGCUCUGCUGAGGGAAGUCGGAUGAGUCAUUGUCGGCCAGAAAUGUAAAUCUGGCCUGAGGCUUCCCUUGCAGCAAAAUUUAGUUCUCAGUUGUUGCAAGCCACUGGCUGCCUUCUUCUGGACACACUUAAUUUUUCAGAUCAUGGCAAUGACAUGGUGAAAACAGCUUGGAGGUGAAUUUUGAAAGGCCUGUGUGAGUAAAUGUUCCUUGACUCUAAAUAUCUGUCGUAGGCUCAGGAAUGUGUUCUUACAAAAGAAUCUGUGAAGGACCUGUUUUGCUUACUCAAGGAUCUCAUUUGCUAAUAUAAUUCUGUGGUGAAAGCAAAAGAACCAGGUGUAAGUGGAAAAAAAACCUUAGUCACUAAGGCUUGUUUGGGCUGCUCAGUGAUGAACACUGGGGUGACAGGUUCUCCUGCCAUGGUGAAUCCUGGCAAGAUUCGUCUGGCUCUCCGGACAUUAUGCAGCCCCAGCAUAUGUGGGAGGACGCCUGAAAGAAGUUUCGUCCUCAGGGGUCUCUCCUCUCCACCUACACACCUUGGAGAGCCUUCACCAGGGUGUGAUGGUGGCAAGUCUGGGACGCAUUCAUCAGAAGGUCCUGCUCUCAGCAGAAAUUUGGAGCCUCCUGAGUGA